UUUUUUUUUAGAAAAAAAAGUUUAUAAGGGUAAAUUUAGCAAAUGUUUAUCUUAUCCUUUGUUCUAAUUCUACAUGUGUCAUUUUAUUUUAGGGUUAAUAGGUUUUUACCCCCUCUAAUAUAAGUCAUUUUUGGUUUUCCUCCCUGUAAAUUUUUUUUUGUCAGAUUUCAUCCUUGUAAAUUUUUUUGUUUUAGAAUACCCCCUAGGCAUGCUGACUGUGCAUUUUUGCUUAUGUGGCAUGAUGCGUCACCUUUUUCUAACGACGUGGCGCGCUGACUGUAUAAUUUUUUUUAUUAGGUACACGUGGCAUUUGUGAUUUUUUUAAAAAUAAAAAAAACAUAAAAAAUUAUAAAAAAUUUGUGGAAAAGAUUAAUAUAUAUUGAAAUUUUCGAUUUUUUUUUCCAAAAUAUCGUAUUUAAAAAAAGAUUAAUCAUUUUUAAAAAAACAAAAUUUCUGAAAAAAGAUUAAUCAUAUUUAAAAAAACUAAAUUUUUGAAAAAAAUUAUGGAAAAGAUUUAAAUAAAACUUCUUACUUUUGAAAAAAAAUAUGAAUUUUUUCCAUUUUUCCAUAAUUUUUUAUUUUACCGGUAUUGAAAAAAUCUGGAAAUUUGAUUUUCUAAAUAUAUUAAUUUUUAGAAUUUUAGAUAUAUAUUAAUCUUUUCCAAAUUUUUAAAAUUUUUUCGGUAUUUUUUUCAAAAAAUUUCCAGAUUUCUUUUAAUUUUUAAAGAAUUUUUUUUUUCGUUUUUAUUUUAAAAAAAAAAUCACAAAUGCCACGUGUAUCUAAUAAAAAAUAAAAAAAAUUAUACAUUCAGCGCGCCACGUCAUCACAAAAAUGUAACACAUCAUGCCACAUCACCAAAAAUGCACAGUUAGCAUGCCCAGUGGGUAUUCUACCACAAAAAAACCCAUUACCAGGAUGAAUUUUGACCAACAUAACCUCUUCGGGGGGAAAACCCAACCUUGAUUUUUGUUCGCGGGGCUACCACCCUCAUCCCCCCUUACAUCGUAUACCACCCCCCCACCCCCCCCCCGCCCGCACCCAUCCCGCCCCCCCUCCUCUCUACACAACCCCCCUCCUUCUUCCUCCGUUCGCCCCCUCUGCCCUUCUCACAUCUGUCCCCCCUCUCCCCCCGCGCACCCUCCCCGCCCUCCUCAUCUCUCUCCUCCUCCGGUCCCCCCCUCCCUCCCCGCUCUCUUUCCUAUCUGUCUGUCUCUCCCUCCUCUCUCCGCCUCCCUCCUUUUUCCCUAUUCCGCCGUCUCCUCAGCCCCUCCCCGCACUCUCCUCGCUCCCCCGGCUAACGCUCACCUCCACCUCCCCUCUCCUCCCUCCAGCCCCAUCCGGGCGUCGUCCACACCUCCUCCGCUCUCUUCGCAUUCCCUCCCGUCUCCCGAGUCCGCGUGCUCCGACCCCCUCCUCUCCGCUCCGCUCUCUCCCCUCGCCCGAUCCUCCGUCGCUCCCUCUCUGCCUCUCCCUCCGCGUCACUCUACCGUCCUCGUCCGCCCGUCGCCGCCGCCCCCACCAUCUCACCUCCUUCGGCUCCUCACGCCCCGCCCUAGCUCUCCCUCUCCUCGCUGCCCCUCCGCCUCUCUCCCCGCCCGCUCUCCCCAUCUUCCACCGCACCCACGCUGCCUUCCCAUCUUCACACUCGCCCUCCCUCCGCACUCNNNNNNNNNNNNNNNNNNNNNNNNNNNNNNNNNNNNNNNNNNNNNNNNNNNNNNNNNNNNNNNNNNNNNNNNNNNNNNNNNNNNNNNNNNNNNNNNNNNNGGGAGCGAGGAUGUUAUGAGGGCGGGGGUAGGAAGAGACAGCGAGACGAGCGAGAUGAGGAAGGGAGGGUGUGUGAGGUAAGGAGAAGAAGGGGACGGGGGGUGAAGUGAGGUAAAUGGUGAGAGAGGGGGUGGAGAGGGAAGGGAGCGCGGAGGGGAGGGAGGAGUGGAUGAUGGGAUGAGAUGGUGGAGAGAAGUAGCGAGGUAGUGUUCAGAGGAGGCGAGGUGAGGGAAGAGGAGUGGAGGGGGGGGGAUGGGAUCGAGAGGGGUGAAAGGAAGGAAAAAGAAUGGAGGAAAGGUAGAUGAGGAGGAGCGGAGAGAGGAGGUGGGGAAGGGAGGGGGGGAGGAGCUGAUGGGGGAGUGGAAGAGGCAGAGAGAGAACAGUGAGGAGGAGUGGGAGGUUGGGGGGAGUAGAGAGGGGGGAAGGGGAUGGUGGACGACGGAGGGGGUUGGAAAUGGGGAGCGAGUAGAAGGCGGAGAAGGAAGAGGAGUGGAGCGAGAGAGGGAGAGGCGAGAUGUGGACGAGGAGGAUAGAUAGGAAGUAGGGGGGAUAAGUGGGGGGGGGUGGUAGAGCGGGAGGGGGAAGAGGGUGAGGGGGGAGAUUGAGAAGGAGAGGGUGAGGAUGGAAAGGGAGGAUAAGGCAUAGGGGGGUGGCAAGGAAGGAGAUGAAGGUGGAUAGGGGGGGGAUGGAGGGAAAUGAGAGAGAGAGGGAGAGGGGGGGGCGAGUUCCUGGGGAAGGGGGAGGAGCUGGGUAUUAGUGGGUGAGAGGAUGAAGACACAGGGGGGAGUGGGGGCAGAGACACGAAGAGAUGCGUGGGGGAAAACGAAGGCAAUUAUGACGUGUUGGAUUGUAUGUUUGCAUUAGAUGGAUGAGUAAAGACAUAAUGAAACAUGUUGCAAUAUACCUUAAUCAAUUUUCCGCUAGAUGUAAGAUACUUCAGUUUUGCUGACAACAACUUUUUGAAGUCUGCAGGUGGCCGGUAUUGGUCAUACAGAAUACAAAGUGAUGAAAUUCAACUUCUGUUUAACACAAAAGCAAUAUUGUAUAUGAAAUAUAAGAUAGAGAAUUAUCCAACCAAAUGUAAUGCUACAAGACUCUAGUUAGUAUCCAACCAAAUGUAAUGCUAUAACACUCUAAUUAGUACUGUAAUAAUCAACAUAAUGUCAUUUCUUAAUCACAUAAGAUUUAGUCAAUUGAAAGUUGAAAUAGCACCGUAUUCACAUUUUACCACAAGGGACAUUUGGAACACCUAAGGCUGCACUAAGCUUCCAUCUCACAGAAACCACAAGUCACAGUAACCUGGUUUCAGAAGGCACGGAGUUGUAGCAUGAGACUCACACACACUCAAGCUUCAUUGUGCAAAUAGGCUCACUUGUCUUUCAGCAUAAUGGCUCAAUUUUAACAAUCUUUUUUCAAAAUAGCUCAGCUUCAUGAUGGGCCCCGACUUAGAAAAAUCAAAGCAAAGAAACAUUUGUGCAAUCAGUGUUAUUAUAUUUAGUUAAUCAUUUCUUCUUUUCUUUGUUUUUGUGUUUGUUAAUUUUCUUUUCCAAUUUCUUACAUUUUCUUCUAUACAAUUCUAGGACUAUAAACAUGGAUGGUUUAGUGUAAUUUUUACACACAACAAGUGAUAUUCGUUUAUUACUCCAGCGCACGAGGAUCCCACGUGGGAUCUAGGGAGGAUAGAUGUAUGCAGCCUUACACCCGCAAGCAGAGAGGCUGUUACAAGGAGUUCAACCUAUGACCUCCAUAUCAUUGGUUUAUUACUCCAGCGAUAGUUUAGUGUAAUUUAUACACACAGCAAGUGGUAUUUGUUUAUUACUCCAGCGCACGAGAAUCCCACGUGGGAUCUAGGGAGGAUAGAUGUGUGCAGUCUUACACCAGCAAGCGGAGAGGCUGUUACAAGGAGUUCAACCUAUGACCUCCAUAUCAUCGGUAGCCACCUUAACGCUGUGCCAAGGCUCGCCCUCAGACAAAUUACUAACCAGAAUUUGUACUAGAGGAGUGCUAGGAACACUCUCUCUAACACCCACUCUCUUAUUAGGUAAAAUCAAUGUGGAUCCCACAUUUUGGAAAUGGGUCUCACAUGUGGUGAAACCCACAUGGAUUUCAUCCAAUGAGAUAGUGAGUGUUGGAGUGAGAAUUGAAAAGAGUGUUGCUAGCACUCCUCUUUGUACUAAUAUCAACUCCUAAUCAUAAUUAAAAAAAAUAACAUCAUGGAAUAUGCUAAUAUGGACAAGAGAUAUUCUAAGAUAUUCUAAAAUACUGUUAGGAUAGAAUAAUGAUUUUAUGAGAUACUUAUUAUGUAUUUUAACUACAAUCAUAAGGUUAGAAUAACAGCAUGCCAACUAUUGAAUUAAAUGAACUAAAAGCAAAACAAAUAAAAGCUGGGCUUAGAAAUCAGAAUUAUACCUCUAUGAAAGAAGCAAUAGUUGUUGUAUUAGAACCACCGAGCUCAUUCAAGCUAGAUAUAGCUUCCAAUAUAAGGUUAUCUAAUCUGUAUAAUGUAAAUGUGGUUAAGCAUACACUGUCGCAAUAAACAUAAAAAAUCUGUAUAAUGUAAACAUGGUUAAGCAUACACUGUCGAAAUAAACAUAAAAAAAUUACAAUUUAUAUAACAAAUGGAGGAACACACACACACACAGAUAUAUAUAUAUUCAAAUAAAUGAAUCCUCUAUAGGAUGCAAGCAAAUCAAGAUAAUGAAAUCAGGGGAGCAUAAUAGCAAGGUAAAUGAAUGAUCUUAACACGCUUGGACAAUAGCCGAUAGGACUAUUAAAGUAUAUGUUCUAUUCUAGCUAGGCUGAUAGACGCGAGCUAUGUCAGUCGCUUUCCUACAUAUUGUGAAAAAUAUUAGUUUGUCCAAAUUUCGUUUUGCUACAGUGGUAAACUGCUAGCUACAAUCGCUUACUGAGUUUCUUCCUCAUCUUUUAGCAAAAAACUGUUCCACGAUGGUAAAGUCCCACCUUGUGGUGUUGGCCGAAGUGACGGUAGUCACAUUGAAGCCUCAAAUACCUCAAUUAUCUUCCACUUUCGGGGAUAAUUCGCAAAACUCCGGAUCCAAUUCCAUUGAAAAUUGAAUGGAGUUUUGUUGUAUUUCGAUCGUAGAAUAUACCAGAAAUAUUUAUUCUCAAUAUUUUGUAUUAAACCGUAUAUGGUAAAACAAUAGUAGUUUGUAAAAUUUUCCCUCUACCGCUAUUAGAUGCAAUUAAAUAAAUACCAUAUUUAACCAAAAAAAAAUAUCGGCCAAACUUAACAAUAAACCUUUUUGGACCAGGAAUGUGCGGCAUGUCUCUUGAGACUUGAAGAGGUUGGGCAUCAACAAUUUCAUCAUCAUCGGAUGGACCAGUAACCGCAGUGAUAGCCAUAGAGUUGUCAUCCUGUUUUGGUACCGGAUGAUUCAACCUUUUGAUUGCUCCCUUAGACUUCUCCCUGGAGCUCGAUCCAUUUCCCAUUACACUCAAAUUUCUCCAUUUAUCCUAUCCAACCCCACAUAACAAAACCAUUAGAUCCACAUUUAACUGUCCAACAUUAAUUCAUAUAGAAAAUGUAAAUAACAAAACCUUGAGAUCGACGUUUGAGCGAAUAAACAAGACACGGUUGAAUUCAGGAUCCUUGAUUAUUGUACGCCAUUUUCCCACCCCAUGCUUGGCAACUCCAGCUUUAAGAGCUGCUUCCUCUUCUGAUGUCCAUUUCUGCUUAGGAGCACCCAUCUAGAGUAAUAAAGAAAUUCACUCUGUUCUGAAAUCAUCCUCGUAAAUUAUACAAAUAUCAAAUUCAACUCCAAAAUUAUAAUCACAUGUUUCAAAGAAUCAUAACACGUUGGAAACACUUACGCCGGAAAACGCGGCGAAAUCGUGGCGGGAAUCCGCAAAGUAGAAGGAAAUGUUGGAAUUGCUCACCCUAACUUCCGACGACGAGAACGAACACCGGCUGCAGCUUCGCUGAGAUCAGUGUGACUCGAACCAGGUUUUUGUGUUAGGGUUUUGAUUCUGUGGUAAAUUUGAUUUGAUGUGUUUAUAUAUAUAUAUAUAUAUAUCUAAGAUUUUAUAUUAUUUAUUUAUUUGUUUGUUUAUUUUCAUACAAGAUAUAUCUACAACCCUUUUUUUUUUUUUCGGCCGGUGUUUGAACCGCGGAUCUUGUGUAUUUGUCUUUGUGCAAUCAUUCUAUAACAACUUUUUGUGACAACUUUCUCUUUCAUAUUAUAUUUUUGCUUUCUUUUUCUAUUGUUUUGGUUUUGAGAAAUGAUAUUUGGACAUCCAUUUUGUGACAACUUUUACUACAACUUUCUUUUUUAUACUCACGUUAUUUUUUACUUUAUCUCUUUCUUGCUUUGAUUUUCGUGCAAAUACAUUUUCUUUCUUCGCAAAUUAUGGUGGUCCCUAUAAGUUGUCAAUUAAAAUCUGUCCAAAUAACACUCUUAUUUGAUUUCUCUGGUCAUACAUAAUUUUCUCUGUACAAAUAUGAUUGUCCAUGUGUUGGUCCCCUAAAUUUAUGUUCAAUUUACAUUUCUCCUUUUCCUAUACACCGAUUUCCUUCUCCGUGUUUCAUUUCCUCUUCCUCACCUUCCCCCUUCUUUCUUGUUCCUUCACACUUUCUCUUUCGAGUUCAUUCUCGGCUACAACCUUCUUCUGCCUCUUCUGUCUCUUACUUCCCCCCACUUUCCCACCCCCUCCUUAUCCGCUGCUCUCCGCACCUCUCUCUCGCCAUGCCUUCUUACUAUCCUAGUCCUCCAUUGUCUAUCGUCUCUUCCGCCUUUCCCUCAUUCGUACCCGCUUCCCGCUCUUUUCUGUCCUCCGCCAUCCUCUCCGAUGCUUCUCCUCCCCUCUUCUCUUCUGUUCUCUCACUUCCCCUCUCUCUUUCUAUCUAUUCCCUGUAUCUUCCUUGCCCUCUGUUUUCUCGCUUUCUUUCGUUCUGGAUAACUAUUUUUUCUCUCUUCUUUCCUCUUCCUCUCCUUUCUCUCCUCGACUCUUAGUCUCCUCGGUACUCCGUUCUCGCUCUUUCGUCCCCUACGUCUCUUCUCUGUGUAAACCUCUCUCUCACUCUCGUCUCUCUCCCUUGUCUCGUCUCCGUCUCCUCCCGUCUCUCUUUCCCGAUCUGUCUCCUCUCUGUCGCUCAUAUGUUCUCUCCCUUCCUGCUCCUCCCCUUCCGUUCCGUACCCUUACGUCUCUCCUUAUNNNNNNNNNNNNNNNNNNNNNNNNNNNNNNNNNNNNNNNNNNNNNNNNNNNNNNNNNNNNNNNNNNNNNNNNNNNNNNNNNNNNNNNNNNNNNNNNNNNNCACGAGAGAGAGUGAGAGGGAAGGUGAUGGAUAGGGGAUGAGAAGGAGAAGCCGAUGAGUAGAUAGAAGCGAAGUUGAAGACGGACAGGAAUUUGCGACCUGAGAUGAAGAGAGUGAAAUAGAGCAAGAGGAGGAGUAGAUAGAGAUGAGAAGAGACUAGAAGAGAGGAGGAUAAAGAGGAGGUGAAGCAGAAAAGGAAAAGAGAAGGACAACAGCAUGGGAACUUGAAAUAAGAGGAGAACGAAGAACAGACAGAGUAGGAGAGAGAACGGAACGGAUCAACCAAAGGCAGAGGGAUAGGGCGGAGUGCAGGACAUGAAAGAAGAACAGGAGCAGAGAGAAGCAUCGGCGAAGAGAGGAGGGGGAAGAGGAGGUGAAGGGAGGGACUACUAGCUAGGAGGACUUGGAAAGAGAAGGCAGGAAAUGACUAUAGUCCGACGGAAGGAGCGAUAGAGGUAAAGCUGAAACAACAAGGGGGAAAACAAAGCCGGGCGAGAUAUGUAGGUGGGAAAGAAGGACGAGGGAGAGGGGAGGAUGACGAUGAUAGACAGAUGUCGGAGUGGAAGAGAUGAGAGGGAGAGAGCGAUUACAGUGGUAAAGACUACAACUGAAGAGGGAGUGAGCGAAUAAGGAACAUGAUAAAGAAAAGACAAUCAGCAGAGUAAGGAAGAGAGCGAGAGUGAGGAAUAGAAGCAGUAAGAAGAUAGAAAAACUAAGAGAUAUGAGGAUAAGCAGAAAAUGAUAUCUAUGAGAGAGAAAGAGAGGGGAAGAGCUAGAAGGUGAUGGAGAGCGAGGAGUAGACGAGAAGGAUGGAAGUGCGAACAUCACAAGGUACAAGAGAGAGAAGAGGGGAGACGGUGGACAAAAGCAUAAUUGGAGAGCAAGAGGUGAAACAGAUAGUAGAAGGCACAAGGAAACGAGAAGACGAAUAGAGGAAGAACAGAAAGGAAAAGAAGAAUAUGUAGCAACGGUAAGAUUGCAGAGAAACAAGAAGAAAGGAGAGGAAAGAAGGAAGGGCAAGAUGAAAGAGCGGGCAGAGGAGCAGAAGAUAUGAAGAAAGGGAAUGGAUGGAAAAAACAGACACACAAAAAGAACAGGUGGCGAAGAGAGACAUCAAGAGCGAAGAAGGAGUAAGGAGAUGAGGGACGAGAAAAACGGAGCUCAAUUAAGAGGAAGAGAGACAGGAGAGGAAAGAGGAAGACGCAAACCAGUAAGAACAAACGGGACGAGGAAAAGAAGAUAUGCACGAGAGAAAGAGGCGAGACAAGUAAAAGAAAGACGAUGGAUGAAGACCGGAAUAGGAUGAGCACGAGGAGGGAGAAGGAAGGGGGAGGAGUAAUAGAUAAGAACGGGUGAGGAAAAGCGACGAUCGAAGAAACGUAUCAUCAAACUAAGAAGAAUGUAGAAAAGAGCGAAGAAAGAAGAGGCAUAGAAAGAAAAUAGGAGACCCACAACCGAAGAAUAUAAACAAUUAGAAGGUCUGCAUGAAAUUAAAGGAUCACCUGAGAAAUGAGCUUAUCACUCAAUGCUUGAACCUUGCGAGGCACAAGACAGUCUUCAAAGUCCCCAUGUCCAAGCUGACCAUAUUUACUCCAUCCAUGUGUGUAUAAUCCACCGGAAGAUGAAAUCGAUAUCGUAUGCCUCCAGCCACAAGAAACCAUGACUAUCUUGUCACCCUGCAAAAUGGACAUUUACGAUAUCAGAACUCCACUACUCUCCCACGUCACCCAUCCCACUCCUUAAAGUAUAUUUUGAAAUUGUUUGUAUGAAGCGGCAAAAUGGUGAGUUCUUAUUGGUUAUCUGUUUAAAAUAAAUUUGCAAUCAAAGUCCCUUUAACUCUUUUCUAAAUUAUAAUGGCUUCUUCAAAAAAAAAAAAAAAGAUAUAAGUUUGAGGACAUACAUCAAUGUUCACUUUCUCAGGGAUCAAGCGAUCAUUUGUGUCUCCCAAUCCCAAGUUUCCAUAUCGUCCCCAACCCCAUCCAUACAAAUCCCCAUCUUCGGUAAUUGCUACACUGUGUUCAGCACCAGCAGCCACCAUUUUGAUACGUAUUCCCUGUAACAGUAGAAAAAUUCAUGUGUCCUAGUUAGAAUUCAGAGUAGUGAACAUAAUAGAUAACCUAGAUUCAGCUCUGAUAAAAAAAAGUACCUCAAAUGCUAGAAUUUUUUGUGGCACGUGAGAGUCCUUUGUGGUACCAAGUCCAAGUUCACCAUUUUGAUUCCGCCCCCAACUUUAACAGCAAAAGAAUACAAUGAAUGGCUAUUACGAUGCGAGAAAAACAUUUUGAAACAAACAAAUUAAAAAGAGAUUAAAAUAUGUGAAACAAAAAAGUAGCAACCUCAACACCUUGUUUUCCAUGGUAACUGCCAAACAAUGACAGUCCCCACAGGAAAUUUGCUUUAUCCUUAGACCCUGUAAUGCUCUAAUGGGAUGAGGAAUGAAUAAGUCACUAGGAUCACCAUGACCUAAUCUUCCAAAAUCACCCCUGGAAAAUCAUAAUAUGGUAACUAAGAUAUAAUGAACAAACUUUUUUAGGACAUAUAUGAACUUGUAAGCUAUGGUACCAUUAUAAAACAAUUGCUAAAUGCGAUUCUAAUUAUGAGAAAAAACUAGCCAAAUAUAGGUAAGGUAAAGAGGAUACCAUCCCCAACUAUAUACAUCCUUGCCGGACUUGGAACGUGCCACUGUAUAAUCAGCUCCACAAGUAACAGAUACAAUGUCUUGGCCAUCGAAAGCGCUUAGUUUUGUGGGUAAGAGUCGAUCAUCGGUAUCACCAUGGCCUAAUUGUCCGUCUUCUCCUCGGCCCCAAGAGCAAACAACAUUGCCAGCUGUUAAAGAAUCAAAAUUGAAACAAACAAAAGAAUUACAGAAGUCAUAACUAGGUCUGUAUCUAGAUGAUAAGAAGUUCUUUUAUUCAGAAAAGUAUUGUGUGAAAGCCAAAGAAACUUAACAAGGAAGACGAACUAUUAAAGUUAAUCACUGUAGCUUUGAAAAAGAAUGGAAGUAUAAACUAAGUUUUUUUUUCUCUUAACAUUCUGGACUCGGAGGAACGAGACCCUGUUAAUCCAGAGGUCAGCCAGGGGAGUAAGUAAAAUAUGACCAAUAAUUCUUUCAGCCAGAACUCGAACUCAGAUACUCCCGAUUGAUUUGUCCUUAACUGAAGUUUAUUAACCACUUAAUCUCAAUCACUUAGUUAUAAAAUAAGGUAUGUGAUCCAAAUCUAGGCCGUGACAUCAAGAUGUUUUUUUAUCCCUCCAUGUCCCCCAACAUGACCAUCGAAUCAAUAAGGCCACAUUUAACUCCAAUUUUCCGCAAUACAAAAGGGUCGCAAAGCAACUAUGAUUGUGAUUUAAAAUUUUGUUAGCAAACUAGUAAGUUUUGCAUUUAUUAAACGAAGUACUUCUUAUAGACAGAUUACAAGCACAUUAAAAAACCGAUUCGUCGUGUGUCUGUGAUGGAGACCUAGAUGCAAAUCUCAAAAUAGCGAAAUACAGUAUCAAUGAUUGGCUGAUUAACAGAAGUUCAAUUCAAAGACAAUGACAAUAUCAAAACCUGGAAUCAUGUAAAUGCAGGUAGACACACAACAUAACAUAAAUAAGCCAAAAAAAGAAAAUAAAGGGUCAUUGUUAGGAACCACAGAAAUGCCAGUAACAAGGUGGCGGACUUCAGCUUCAAGCAGAGAAAAAAAGCAUACAAUAAAUGCAAAAUUUAAAAAAAAAAAAACUUGUAAUAUAAACUGAAUGGGGAUCCUUUAGAUCGACUGCAGCAGAAGGCUGUUNNNNNNNNNNNNNNNNNNNNNNNNNNNNNNNNNNNNNNNNNNNNNNNNNNNNNNNNNNNNNNNNNNNNNNNNNNNNNNNNNNNNNNNNNNNNNNNNNNNNGGAUGUGGGAGGGUUACGAGCGAGUUGCGAGUGCCGGCCAGGUGAUAGAGCGGAGAGUACGAGGCUGGGAGUGACCAGAGACCACGAGGACAUGUGACGUAGAUGUCAUAUGAAGAACUAGAGAUAGGACGAGUGGGAGUGGACGGGCACGAAUGAAACGUGAAAUGAGAGAGGGGUGGGUGGGCGGGACAGGUGUUGGGAGUAGGAAGACGAUAGUGGCGAAGAGCGAAGGAGCGGCCAACUCGAUCAAAGAACAGUUCAGGGACGGAGGUGUAGGAGAGGUGAGGAAUAGGAGAGCAAUACGCGGGCUCGCUAUGGGCGAGAAAACAGGUGGGCGUGAAUGACGAUAGACGGAUAGUGAACGUGGAAGAAGGACAGACGGAGGGUGGGGAGUGGAGUGUUACGUAGCCCAGCGGAAGAGAAAGGAUGAGGUUUUAUUUGGAGAAAUCAAGGGGGUGAUGAGGGUUGUAGUGCUCCCGAAAGUGCAGGCAGUCCCGUGAGAGUGUAAAAUCACAAUAGAUCCUCUUAAGGUCAAGUGAUAAAUCCUGGAAAUUCUUGAAGGGUUUAAAGGUCUCGUAAAUAAAAAGUCUUUUAAAAUCUCACAGGAUCAAUACAAUAUCCCAGAGUCUUUUAAAAUGUUAAAGACUUUUUGUAUUAAAAUAAUCUUUUAAAAUCUUAAUCCAAUACACCGCAAAUUUUCAUUGUGUGUCUAUUUCAAAAAUUAGUUUAAAAUUAUAAGUUGACAACAUUUCCUGUCGCAGUAGCAAAGGAAUCCUUCUUUCCAUAAAAUUUUCAUAAAUGCAUAUAUAAGAUCUUACAUAGUUAACGAUAAACAACUUUUUUCAAUUCAUACUAUUGGCUCAUUCGAAAUAAGUAUUGUUCCAUCCAAUUUUAGAGAACCAAAUGCUCAAUAAGAUUCUUAAUAGAAUGUCUCUAAAAUGAUAAAUCCCUCCGCAAUAAAAUCACAUUUCUAAUCAUUUUCUCUGAUAGAUUCAAAGAAGAUGUGUCUUUUAUGCCCUCAAUCGCAAGCAGGUUAUAUGGAAAAACAAAUAAAAUUGGCAUUCCCAGAUAUUCAUAGCUGUCUCUUUAGCCUUUUUUUUCUCUGUCUCAAAAUAAUUAUCACUUUACAAUACCGAUACAACAUUUAUUAUUUUUUUCACUAUUAUAUCCUUAUUUAUUGAAUUUUAUCCAAUUUUAACUACUGCACUAACCACGAUUAAUAAAGAUAUUUUAGUAAAUGAUACUAAUUUUAGCAUUAAAAUUGAGUGCUAAUAUUGACAUUCUAUUUGUUGACAAUGUAUGCCUUUCUCUCUUCAAAAUAGUAAGCACGUAAACCAAGGUUAGAUGAAAAAAAAAUAUUAAGAACCACAAAUCGGAUACUAGCAAUAUACUUGUACGUUGUUGGUUGUCAAUAACCAACAAAACGUAUACUAACAAUAUACUUAUACAUUGUUUGUCAAUAAAAUUGUUCAAGUUAUUCCUGAUAAAAUCAACACAAUUAAUCAUUUUCUUAAUAAGUGUGCAAACCUUAAAAAAUUAAUAUUGCAAGACGGAAGAAGAAAAUAUAAAAACUCAUCCUAUGUCAUUUUGCUUCUAAGUUGCAUACAAAAGAAUCUUAUGUGUGCCCUAUUAAUGUAUUUAAGUUAUGAAGUGUGUUAUUUGAACAACUAUUUAUGAGACAACUUUUGAAACAACCAUAAAAUUAUAAAGAAAAAUUGAUAUUAACACGAAAACCAAAGCAAUAAAGAAAGUAAAAACAUAAUAUAAGGAUGAGGGAGAAAGUUGUCAUCAAAUUGUUCCACAGGUAUCAUUUCUCUCAAGUUAUAGUAUUAGUACAACGGAAGGUAAAACCGAGAAUUACAGUUUUUAGGGUGUUUCUCCCCUUUGGUAUUUUCAUUGCAGCUUUUACAAAAGCUUCCGUUGCAUCUGCAUCCCGCUUCUGCAGCCUCCUUUGUUGCCUCUUCAGCUUCCGUAGUGGCGGCUUCCACUUCAGUAACUGCUCCAUAAGGGAUAUUGCUAAUUUUUAAUCUAACUCAGAAUUCGUAGGGAUAUUGCUCUCAGCCCUGUCAAAUUUCAUAUGAGGCUUUCCGCCCCCCUUCCAAUAAUAACAUGGGUUGGUGUCUUCCUCUGUCUGAAUAUGCUGGGGUAGGUGCAAUCCUAUACCUUCCUUUCACUGAAAUAUAAAACACAACCCAUGAGUCUGGCCUCUAAUUGAAAACAUGUAAAUAUGACAUCCAAAAAUGAGAAUAGCAUCCAAAUAUAGCUCACAAUACAUGUAUACACUAAACCAUGAAAAAAUAUUGAUUCCUAAUAUAUAUAUAUAUAACAAAAACCAUUUCUUUAGUAUGGCAAAAACUGUUUUUAAUUCACACCAGAAGAUAUUAAUUUUGUCUGUCUUCAUUGGAAAAUAUAGGGUUGUAUACUAGAACCUCAGCACAAACCCACAACCAGCAGCUGUAUCUAAGCAAUAGACUAACAGCAUUGACAGCAACACUUUAUUACAAAUAGAUAUAACUCCGAAUAAAAAAAUAUUGCAAGGAUUAUUUCUCAUCAUUUCGUCACAAUUUUCAUUUUAACUCUAUAUCUUUCGUUAUUACUUUCAGCCUCACUCCAAAUCCUCUUGUCCGGAGAUUUUUUUAUUCAGCUAUUACUCCAUAUCCUGUAAUAUAAAUGUAAUACCAUGGUUUGUCUAAGUCGUAGGUUUGGGGCCGAACUCAACCCCACUGUGCGGCUUGUAAAGUGCAGAUUGCCUAGACAUUAGAGGUUCUAUUUAGGCCUUAUCUCACACCAAUGUGAGCCAUGAGUUUUUCUAAUACACCUGCUCACGCCUAACUCAUGGCUAACACAGUGGCCCAAGAAUGUAUCU
rnacentral:lncRNA from 1 species